rnacentral:misc_RNA from 1 species
GUGAAUCAUCGAAUUUUUGAACGCAAAUUGCACUUUCUGGUAUUCCGGAGAGUAUGCCUGUUUGAGGGUCAGUUAAAUAAAAAUCGGUGAUGUCGCUGGCUUUAGCGGUGAAGCGUCGGGAUUGGGUCGUAUUAACUUCGGUUAAGUGACUUAAAAUUUUGCAUGAUUUUCGAAGGUAUUUAAAUUUCUUACGUAGGUUUGAGAUAUCGAAUACAUUACUAGGUUCGGUCAUUCUCAUGAUUGG